rnacentral:lncRNA from 1 species
UUGGCUAGCCUAAUUGCCGAGGAUAAGUCGGCAGAGAUUUCAACGUGGAAUCGGUAGUGAAGCCAGUAAUUGUCAUCGAAUGCUACCCCAGAGCCAAUCCAUAGAGCACUUCGGAAUUCUCUUCUGUAUCAUCACUAAGCACGUUCCCCGUUCACCAAUAUUUACCAUCUCAGUAUUUUCGAAGGGAAAGGAUAGAGUUCCCCAACGUAACGGCGGCAGAGGUGCCUUCCGGUCAAAGCAUAGUUCUUAUCCCUUC